GACGUAGGGGGCAAGCGUUGUCCGGAUUUAUUGGGCGUAAAGAGCUCGUAGGCGGUCAUUCACGUCGGGUGUGAAAGCUCGGAGCUCAACCCCGAGACGCCAUUCGAUACGGGAUGACUAGAGGUAGGUAGGGGAGAUUGGAAUUCCUGGUGUAGCGGUGAAAUGCGCAGAUAUCAGGAGGAACACCGGUGGCGAAGGCGGAUCUCUGGGCCUUACCUGACGCUGAGGAGCGAAAGCGUGGGGAGCAAACAGG
rnacentral:misc_RNA from 1 species